rnacentral:rRNA from 1 species
GUUAUACCGUAAGGAUGAAGAACUUUUGUUUUAUUUUUGAAGAAAAGUUUGAAAUUUUUGUUUUAUUUUGAGGGUAAAAUNUUAANAUAAAUGUUUUUUUNUUUAUCCUNUCUUUGAAAGCUCAAAAGUGAAANUAGGAUUAGAUACCCUAUUNUUAGAGAAGAAAAAAAAAAUAGGUAGUAAUAGAAGGCUUGAAACUUAAAGAAUUUGGCGGUAUUUUAAUCUUACCAGAGGAACUUGUGUUUUAAUUCGAAAUUACUCGCUAUAUCUUACUUGAAUUUAGUUUGUAUAUCGUCGUAAAAAUAAAACUUUGAAGUAUAUAUUUAAAAUUAUUUGAUAAAAAAUUACAGAUCAAGGUUCAGCUUAUUUAAGGGAAACAUGAGUUACAAUAUAAUAAUAUAAACGGAUAAUUUUUUGAAAGAAGGAAUUUAAAGGUGGAUUUGGAAGUAAAUUAAAAGGAAAAAGU